rnacentral:tRNA from 1 species
UGCCUUAGUGGCUUAAAGCCUAAAGCAUCGGUUUUGUAAUCCGAAGAUUGGAGGUUAAACUCCUCCCUAACGC